AUACGGAGGGUGCAAGCGUUAUUCGGAAUCACUGGGCGUAAAGGGUGCGUAGGCGGUUUGAUAAGUCUGAUGUGAAAUCCUAUGGCUCAACCAUAGAACUGCAUUGGAAACUGUCAGACUAGAAUACUGAAGGGGCAGAUGGAAUUAGUGGUGUAGGGGUAAAAUCCGUAGAUAUCACUAGGAAUACCGAAAGCGAAAGCGAUCUGCUGGGAAGUUAUUGACGCUGAGGCACGAAAGCGUGGGGAGCAAACGGGAGUAGAAACCCCAGUAGUCC
rnacentral:rRNA from 1 species